UCCCUGAUCACAAUGGAACGAAAUUAGAAAUCAAUAGCAAGAGAAAAUUGGGGGAAACUCGUGAAAUACACUUCCAGUGGGUCAAAGAAGAAAUCAAAAUGGAAAUCAGAAAACACUUUGAGAUAAAUGAAAAUGAAGUUACCACACAGGAAUUUGCCCGUUAAUUACAGUGUGAGCGCCUGCUAUUUCCUGAUAGCCCUGUAGAUAGCACAGUUGGCGUAUUCCGCACUGGAGCUCUCUGCCAGAUUCCUGCCCAAUUACAAAUGAAUCGUAACGACAGAAAGAUGACAUGAUUUUAUAUUCCGGAGAACUGCAGGGAGAUCUGAGAAUGUCAGGUAAACAUGGAACCACGGGAUGGACUGCCACCUUCGGUCAAAGUCUUUGCAAAAGUAACUACUAAUUUUGAAGCAGAUGCUGUUGGCUUGGCCAGGAAGUUUGCAUUUUCUGCUAUCAGGGUGGCCACUGAUGUUCCCACU